rnacentral:rRNA from 1 species
AGAGUUUGAUCCUGGCUCAGGAUGAACGCUAGCGACAGGCCUAACACAUGCAAGUCGAGGGGUAUAGUAGCAAUACUAGAGACCGGCGCACGGGUGCGUAACGCGUAUGUAACCUGCCUCACACUGGGGGAUAGCCUUCCGAAAGGGAGAUUAAUACCGCAUAAUAAUAUUGUUCUGCCUGGGAUGAUAUUUAAAACUUCGGUGGUGUGAGAUGGACAUGCGUAUGAUUAGCUAGUUGGCGGGGUAACGGCCCACCAAGGCGACGAUCAUUAGGGGUUCUGAGAGGAAGAUCCCCCACACUGGUACUGAGACACGGACCAGACUCCUACGGGAGGCAGCAGUGAGGAAUAUUGGUCAAUGGGCGAAAGCCUGAACCAGCCAUGUCGCGUGCAGGAAGACGGCCCUAUGGGUUGUAAACUGCUUUUGUAUGGGAAGAAACGACGGUACGUGUACUGUUUUGCCGGUACCAUACGAAUAAGGAUCGGCUAACUCCGUGCCAGCAGCCGUGGUAAUACGGAGGAUCCAAGCGUUAUCCGGAUUUAUUGGGUUUAAAGGGUGCGUAGGCGGGAGAUUAAGUCAGUGGUGAAAGUUUGCGGCUCAACCGUAAAAUUGCCAUUGAUACUGGUUUUCUUGAGUACAGUUGAGGUAGGCGGAAUGUGGUGUGUAGCGGUGAAAUGCUUAGAUAUACCACAGAACACCGAUUGCGAAGGCAGCUUACUAAGUUGUGACUGACGCUGAAGCACGAAAGCAUGGGGAUCAAACAGGAUUAGAUACCCUGGUAGUCG